rnacentral:lncRNA from 1 species
UAAAGAGGGCAACUGCAAGCUCCUCCUCCGGCCUGAGGCGGGCAAACCCGACUCCUAAGUGAGUGGAUCCUUCGGACAAAGAGGGAGACCCGGGCUGAGUGGUCACCAGGCGGAGGCUCUGGAAUCUGAACUUUACUCCGGGGAGGAGGCGCGGAGUGAGGAGGAGUCGGGGCCAAGCCGCUGGGCCGGCCCAGGGCUCCCCGCCGCCCCGGGGCAUCACCCCCGUGCGAGAAGGUCUAGUUUUCGGCGCUGCUGAUCCGCGGAGCCCAGGAAUCAAGCAGCUUCCUGAGCCCGGCCCUGGACGGACAGUGACCCGUGGGAGGAGAGAAAGGACUCCCGGGGCAGCUAAAAGACGUCCGAACCUCGCGAGCGCACACUCAGCCCUUCGUUCCCUUCAGUUCAUCACGCCCAGCUCAAAUUUGGCCCCGGGACCCCGGGCCACUCACCUGGAGGCGGGCGGCCGAGCGCGGAGCGAGCCCACCUGAGGGGGCGUGGCCGCAGCCUGAAGCCCGGCGCGAAGGAGUUAAGCCGAGGCGGCCCCGCCCCGCCCCAGGCAGGCCGCAGAGCCUGAGCCCCAGCGGUGGAGUCGAGCGGCCGCCGCCCGCC